GACGAACGCUGGCGGCGUGCUUAACACAUGCAAGUCGAACGGAAAGGCCCUGCUUUUGUUUGGUGCUCGAGUGGCGAACGGGUGAGUAACACGUGAGUAACCUGCCCUUGUCUUUGGGAUAACUUCAGGAAACUGGGGCUAAUACCCGAUAGGAUCUCCUGCUGCAUGGUGGGGGUUGGAAAGUUUCGGCGGUUGGGGAUGGACUCGCGGCUUAUCAGCUUGUUGGUGGGGUAGUGGCGUACCAAGGCUUUGACGGGUAGCCGGCCUGAGAGGGUGACCGGGCACAUUACGACUGAGAUACGGCCCAGUCUCCAACGGGAGGCAGCAGUGGGGAAUAUUACACAAUGGGGGGACGCCUGAUGCAGCGACGCCGCGUGCGGAAAGACGGCCUUCGGGUUGUAAACCGCUUUCGCCUGUGACGAAGCGUGCGUGACGGUACUGGGUAAAGAAGCACCGGCUAACUACGUG
rnacentral:rRNA from 1 species